rnacentral:rRNA from 1 species
AGAGUUUUCGAUCCUGGCUCAGGAUGAACGCUGGCGGCGUGCUUAACACAUGCAAGUCGAAGGACCCAUAUUGAAACCUAGUGAUAUAUGGGUUAGUGGCGGACGGGUGAGUAACGCGUGGGUAACCUGCCUUACACAGGGGGAUAACACUUAGAAAUAGGUGCUAAAACCGCAUAAGCGCACAGCUUCGCAUGAAGCGGUGUGAAAAACUCCGGUGGUGUAAGAUGGACCCGCGUCUGAUUAGCUUGUUGGCGGGGUAACGGCCCACCAAGGCGACGAUCAGUAGCCGGCCUGACGAGGGCGGACGGCCACAUUGGGACUGAGACACGGCCCAGACUCCUACGGGAGGCAGCAGUGGGGAAUAUUGCACAAUGGGGGAAACCCUGAUGCAGCGACGCCGCGUGAGUGAAGAAGUAAUUCGUUACGUAAAGCUCUAUCAGCAGGGAAGAAAAUGACGGUACCUGAGUAAGAAGCCCCGGCUAACUACGUG